rnacentral:tRNA from 1 species
GGAAGUAUAGCUCAGCUGGUUAGAGCAUUCGCUUGACGUGCGAAAGGUCCAGAGUUCGAAUCUCUUUACUUCCA